rnacentral:rRNA from 1 species
UACGGAGGAGGCAAGCGUUAUCCGGAAUUAUUGGGCGUAAAGCGUCCGUAGGUGGUUGUUCAAGUCUGCUGUUAAAGCCCAAGGCUCAACCUUGGAUCGGCAGUGGAAACUGAAGAACUAGAGUGCGGUAGGGGUAGAGGGAAUUCCCAGUGUAGCGGUGAAAUGCGUAGAGAUUGGGAAGAACACCGGUGGCGAAAGCGCUCUACUGGGCCGCAACUGACACUCACGGACGAAAGCUAGGGGAGCGAAAGGG